rnacentral:rRNA from 1 species
CCUACGGGAGGCAGCAGUGAGGAAUAUUGGUCAAUGGGCGCUAGGCUGAACCAGCCAAGCCGCGUGAGGGAUGAAGGCGCAGUGCGUCGUAGACUUCUUUUGUCGGGGAAUAAAAGGCCGGACGUGUCCGGUUUUGCAUGUACCCGGUGAAUAAGGAUCGGCUAACUCCGUGCCAGCAGCCGCGGUAAUACGGAGGAUCCGAGCGUUAUCCGGAUUUAUUGGGUUUAAAGGGAGCGUAGGCGGGUUGUUAAGUCGGGUGUGAAAUUUUGGGGCUCAACCGUAAAAUUGCAGUUGAUACUGGGAGCCUUGAGUACAGCAGAGGUAUGCGGAAGUCGCGGUGUAGCGGUGAAAUGCUUAGAUAUCACGAAGAACCCCGAUUGCGAAGGCAGCUUGCGGGACUGCAACUGACGCUGAGGCUCGAAAGCGUGGGGAUCAAACAGGAUUAGAUACCCCAGUAGUC